CACAGUGUAGCUUAAAAUAAAGUCUCUGGCCUACACCCAGAAGAUUCCAUCAUAGUGGACACUUUGA
rnacentral:tRNA from 1 species